CCUACGGGAGGCAGCAGUGAGGAAUAUUGGACAAUGGGCGCAAGCCUGAUCCAGCCAUGCCGCGUGCAGGAUGACGGUCCUAUGGAUUGUAAACUGCUUUUGUACAGGAAGAAACAGUUCUACGUGUAGAACCUUGACGGUACUGUAAGAAUAAGGAUCGGCUAACUCCGUGCCAGCAGCCGCGGUAAUACGGAGGAUCCAAGCGUUAUCCGGAAUCAUUGGGUUUAAAGGGUCCGUAGGCGGUUUAGUAAGUCAGUGGUGAAAGCCCAUCGCUCAACGGUGGAACGGCCAUUGAUAUUGCUAAACUUGAAUUAUUAGGAAGUAACUAGAAUAUGUAGUGUAGCGGUGAAAUGCUUAGAGAUUACAUGGAAUACCAAUUGCGAAGGCAGGUUACUACUAAUGGAUUGACGCUGAUGGACGAAAGCGUGGGUAGCGAACAGGAUUAGAUACCCUGGUAGUCCACGCCGUAAACGAUGGAUACUAGCUGUUGGAAGCAAUUUCAGUGGCUAAGCGAAAGUGAUAAGUAUCCCACCUGGGGAGUACGUUCGCAAGAAUGAAACUCAAAGGAAUUGACGG
rnacentral:rRNA from 1 species